GGGACGAUGGCGCAGUUGGGAGCGCGUUCGACUGAAGUUUAACUUCAUCAUAAACACCAAUAGGUGAUCGAGAGGUCGUCGGUUCAAACCCGGCUCGUCCCA